UGGCGGACGGGUGAGUAACGCGUGGGUAACCGUGCCUUGUACUGGGGGACAACAGUUAGAAAUGACUGCUAAUACCGCAUAAGCGCACAGGACCGCAUGGUCUAGUGUGAAAAACUCCGGUGGUGUGAGAUGGACCCGCGUUUGAUUAGCUAGUUGGUGGGGUAACGGCCUACCAAGGCGACGAUCAAUAGCCGACCUGAGAGGGUGACCGGCCACAUUGGGACUGAGACACGGCCCAA
rnacentral:rRNA from 1 species